AGAGAGAUAUUCACAUUUUCAUGAGACUGCGCAGGCAACCUCUUUGGGACCCACUUGAGGAGGUGGAAACUUACCCACUUAUAUUUAAGUGGUGGAAGCCCCUUUCACCUCAUUUGUUCAACCCAAACUGACUAUACGCCUCUCUAAGAAGUUCUUUGUGAUUUCUCUCAUGUCUCAAGAGUAAAUCCAAAGGUAAAUCACCUAAACCAAUUAUCGUGAAUCCCGUGGUACUAGUAGAACGUAGUUCUAUCUCGUUGUUCUUGUGUUGGUUGUUCUUCCAAGUUGAGGCAGCAUAAGAAAAGGCUUGUCUUUCUAGAUCAAGAUUUAGGCAUGAAGGAGGUUGAUUCUGGCUUGAUACAUCGUAGAUCGAUAUAAGGGUCCAUAAAGGGUCAUCAAGUAGCUAAUUCGUGAAACUUAGUAAUUUCAGACCUAUUCAAAGCUAAGGUGAGUAGACACUAGUUCGUGGAGGCCCUAUUCAGCAAUUCUCUAUUAUUCGAUCAAUAUUGUAUUUAUUUUCGAGUUAUGAUUCGUACUUAAUUUGUAACUCACCAAUAGAUCCAUGACUUAAUUCAUUUUUCUUCCGGUAUUAUGGGUUUCCGCAUUAUAUUAGCUUGUAUUUCUUUUUGUUUUAUAUUAUAUCAAACUAUUAUAGCAUCUAUUUUGUCGUACUUGUUUCACCGUUGAGCAUUUUUAGUUAGAGGAUUCCUUUGGCGAGAGUUGUGGCUCGUCGCGUGCUAUAUCACGGUCUAAGUGUCAGAUUC